AUUGUACCCUUAUUGCUAUUUCCCAAAAAUAAACCCCUCAUCAGGUCCAGCCCUUCCGUCAUCUAGGGUUUAGAUUGCCAAUUCCCCAAUCAAAACACCACCCCAAUCCUGAUUCAAAUUACACCAAUAUUUCUGUAAUUCGGCGGUAAAAUCAUCAUGGGGAAGAACGACUUCCUAACCCCAAAGGCAAUUGCCAAUCGGAUCAAGGCCAAGGGACUUCAGAAGCUUCGAUGGUACUGCCAGAUGUGCCAGAAGCAAUGUCGAGACGAAAACGGCUUCAAAUGCCACUGCAUGAGCGAAAGCCACCAGCGACAGAUGCAGAUCUUCGGCGAAAACUCUAAUCGCAUAGUCGAUGGCUACUCCGAGGAGUUCGAGCAAAGUUUUCUCGAUUUGAUGAAACGAAGCCACCGGUUCAGCCGUAUCGCCGCCACCGUGGUCUACAACGAGUACAUCAACGACCGCCACCAUGUUCAUAUGAAUUCGACUGAGUGGGCCACGAUAACCGAGUUCGUGAAGCACUUGGGGAGGACGGGUAAGUGUAAGGUUGAGGAGACGCCAAAGGGUUGGUUCAUUACUUAUAUCGAUAGAGAUUCGGAAACCCUUUUCAAGGAGAGGUUGAAGAACUUUGUAUUUUAACUUUGUAUAUUAUAUGGAAAUUCACACUGCAUAUAGCAUCUGAAUAUGCAGAUUCAUUCAUCAUUGCGGACAUUGUUUAGAGCUGAACACAUGUGGGAGCUCUCCCACUUUUGGGCACUGAUGCAUGAAGCAAUGGAUUAUUUUUUUCCUUCAGGAAAUUUUACUACCAUUUAAGAGUUGGUUGUGGGGUUGAGUCUUCACCCAGUUGAUGUCUGAAAGUAGGUGCUUGGUAAUGGAAAAGUUGAAAAGCAUAUUAAUGUGGGAUGAGAUACUAGGUACAGCAAUAGAGGUGUUAGGAUAGUUGUGUUGUGUCCUCGUCCAACUGCUGCCUCUCAAGAUUGAUUUUGCAAAGUUGGUAUGAAAAAUUCUUUAUGUCAAAUCAUACCUGCCUAUUAUGUAUGCCCUGGUUCUUUUGACACCAGUCUAGAGCCUCUGUGAAUGGUUUUCUGUUUGUGGAAACCAACGGUUCUCAUUGCACAUGUAUUCCAUGGUUAUGUUUCCAAUAUUUUUAUGCACUGUUACACGGUUCUUUUUGCAAUACAUAUUUUCUGUGGAUGAACAAGUUGGGGAUUGGCACUUGUACAUCCUUUUCCAUUAUUAUGUAUUAGGGUUGAGAGAAAUAGCUGUAUUUACAAUGGAAAGAUGCACAAAGAGGCUAGUAGCUAUGAGUUAUUAAGUUGCUAAAGUAAGGGCGUGUGCUCAUGUUCGUUCUGCUGCCGAUUGAAGCCUCUUGGAGAGUUGCAUCUCAAUACCUUCAUCAUGCUUCAUGUAUUAGAAAAAUUAUAGGUUCAAUUGUCAUUGUAAUCAGAGUAAAAGCAAUUUGAUAGCGUG